rnacentral:rRNA from 1 species
CCUACGGGUGGCAGCAGUGAGGAAUAUUGGUCAAUGGGCGCGAGCCUGAACCAGCCAAGUCGCGUGAGGGAAGACGGUCCUAUGGAUUGUAAACCUCUUUUGUCGGGGAGCAAAAGACGCCACGCGUGUCGUUCCGAGCGUACCCGAAGAAAAAGCAUCGGCUAACUCCGUGCCAGCUGCCGCGGUAAUACGGAGGAUGCGAGCGUUAUCCGGAUUUAUUGGGUUUAAAGGGUGCGCAGGCGGAAGAUCAAGUCAGCGGUAAAAUUGAGAGGCUCAACCUCUUCGGGCCGUUGAAACUGGUUUUCUGGAGUGAGCGAGAAGUAGGCGGAAUGCGUGGUGUAGCGGUGAAAUGCAUAGAUAUCACGCAGAACUCCGAUUGCGAAGGCAGCAUACCGGCGCGCAACUGACGCUCAUGCACGAAAGUGUGGGUAUCGAACAGGAUUAGAUACCCCAGUAGUC